UGCUUAAAAGUGUGUUUCCAUUGUAGCUCUGUGUCCAAAACCAGAAAUAGCCCAUGCAAAGCUGUCUGUGAAUAAGGAUCAAUAUCUUCAGGCUGCAAAUGUCACCAUCCAGUGUGACUCUGGCUAUGAAUUGGAUGGUCCUCAAAGUAUCACCUGCUUGGAGGACAGAACCUGGUACCCCGGGGUGCCCAAGUGCGAGUGGGUGGUCCCUGAAAGCUGUGAAUAUGUCGGCAAAGGCAGAAAGAUCAUGCAGUGUCUCCCCAACCCAGCGGAUGUGAAAAUGGCCCUGGAGCUGUAUAGAUAUUCUUUGGAGAUCGAACUACUGGAACGACAGAUAGAAAAGGCGAAGAAAUAUACUGCGGAGUCACCACCAUAAUUUCCCCCAAAAGAGGGAGAAACGUGCUGGUUUCAAUACAAUACAUAUCACUUCAGCUUACCAACUCUACUGUCCCCUUCGCACCAUCAUUCAUGGUAAUAAAUGUCUCGAAAGGAUAAUUUGUUCACAA